GAGCCCUUUCCUGUUUGCAGUGGUGAUGGACAGGUUGAUGGACGAGGUCAGGCAGGAGUCUCUGUGGACUAUGAUGUUUGUGGAUGAUCUUGUGAUUUGUGGUGAGAGUAGGGAGCAGGUGGAGGAGAGCCUGGAGAAGUGAAGGUCUGUAGUGACCCCUAAUGGGAGCACCCGAAAGAAGAGUUUUGUGUGUGUAGACAGUGUAUGCAGACCCACAGUUUUGGCAGCUGGAGCUGUUCCCCAGUUAAGAAGAGGAUAUGGUGCGUGACGGCUCGGAUGUGUCUGAUUCUAGCGUGCUCCCUUCAGCGCUUCACUGUAUGAAGUAGAGUUUCUGCUCAUCAUCACCGAGAACGUGAAUCAGAAGCAGGAUGUGAAGAUCUCGCCUGCUGGAGCACUGGACGUCCCAAAUCCUUUAAAUCUCACUAUAUAUACACUUCUCCAACAUUUAAGUGUCCUGUAAACUAAUCCAAACGUUAACCUGGUAACUGUACAAUUUUGUCUAGGGUUCUACUGAUCGUGAUAUUCUAAUCACCAUGAUUGCGAUGUAGGUCAAACUCAUUGCCGGGGGUGUUGCUGCUGUCUGGCUAAGAUUUACUUCAGCUCAGAAAUGUGUGUAUGGCAGUGAAAACUACAACCCAUGUUCUCAUGUGUAUAUCAUGAUGUAAGAGUAAGGGUACCAGGGGAACGCUUAAAGACUGUUGGAGCACAAAAACCAACACAGAAAGGUUCCAGAUCAAUGUAAAUAUAUAUACUGUAUGAAUGUGGCUUUUGGAAUCUCCUCCUGGGUCCUCCUGGGUCAACCCGCCGCCUCUUCCUCCUGGGUUGACCCGCCGCCGCUUUCUCCUGGGUCCUCCUCCUCCUGGGUCGACCCGCCGCAGCCUCCUCCUGGGUCCUCCUCCUCUUGGGUCCUCCUGGGUCGAGCCGCCGCCGCCACCUCCUGGGUCCAGCCGCCGCCUCCUGGGUCCAGCCGCCGCCGCCGCCUCCUGGGUCCUCCUCCUCCUGGGAACAGACUCUGUCCCUCCAAAAGCUUGUUAUAUGGGAGUGGUAGCUCAGUAGUUAAGGUGCUGGGUUACUGAUCGGAAGGCUGGGGGUUCAAGCCCCGGUAUAGCCAAGCUUGAGCAAGGCUCUUAACCCUCUGUGCUUCAGGGGCUGCCACUGCACUCUGACCCUAGCUUCUGAGCAAGCUGGGAUAUGGGAAGGAAGAAUUUCACUGUGCUGUAAUGUCUAUGUACCAAAUAAAGUCUAUUCUAUAAUAAACUCCAAAUCAGA